AGAGUUUGAUCCUGGCUCAGGAUGAACGCUAGCUACAGGCUUAACACAUGCAAGUCGAGGGGCAGCAUGGUCUUAGCUUGCUAAGGCCGAUGGCGACCGGCGCACGGGUGAGUAACACGUAUCCAACCUGCCGUCUACUCUUGGACAGCCUUCUGAAAGGAAGAUUAAUACAAGAUGGCAUCAUGAGUCCGCAUGUUCACAUGAUUAAAGGUAUUCCGGUAGACGAUGGGGAUGCGUUCCAUUAGAUAGUAGGCGGGGUAACGGCCCACCUAGUCUUCGAUGGAUAGGGGUUCUGAGAGGAAGGUCCCCCACAUUGGAACUGAGACACGGUCCAAACUCCUACGGGAGGCAGCAGUGAGGAAUAUUGGUCAAUGGGCGAGAGCCUGAACCAGCCAAGUAGCGUGAAGGAUGACUGCCCUAUGGGUUGUAAACUUCUUUUAUAAAGGAAUAAAGUCGGGUAUGGAUACCCGUUUGCAUGUACUUUAUGAAUAAGGAUCGGCUAACUCCGUGCCAGCAGCCGCGGUAAUACGGAGGAUCUGAGCGUUAUCCGGAUUUAUUGGGUUUAAAGGGAGCGUAGAUGGAUGUUUAAGUCAGUUGUGAAAGUUUGCGGCUCAACCGUAAAAUUGCAGUUGAUACUGGAUAUCUUGAGUGCAGUUGAGGCAGGCGGAAUUCGUGGUGUAGCGGUGAAAUGCUUAGAUAUCACGAAGAACUCCGAUUGCGAAGGCAGCCUGCUAAGCUGCAACUGACAUUGAGGCUCGAAAGUGUGGGUAUCAAACAGGAUUAGAUACCCUGGUAGUCCACACGGUAAACGAUGAAUACUCGCUGUUUGCGAUAUACUGCAAGCGGCCAAGCGAAAGCGUUAAGUAUUCCACCUGGGGAGUACGCCGGCAACGGUGAAACUCAAAGGAAUUGACGGGGGCCCGCACAAGCGGAGGAACAUGUGGUUUAAUUCGAUGAUACGCGAGGAACCUUACCCGGGCUUAAAUUGCAGAUGAAUUACGGUGAAAGCCGUAAGCCGCAAGGCAUCUGUGAAGGUGCUGCAUGGUUGUCGUCAGCUCGUGCCGUGAGGUGUCGGCUUAAGUGCCAUAACGAGCGCAACCCUUGUUGUCAGUUACUAACAGGUUCCGCUGAGGACUCUGACAAGACUGCCAUCCUAAGAUGUGAGGAAGGUGGGGAUGACGUCAAAUCAGCACGGCCCUUACGUCCGGGGCUACACACGUGUUACAAUGGGGGGUACAGAGGGCCGCUACCACGCGAGUGGAUGCCAAUCCCCAAAACCUCUCUCAGUUCGGACUGGAGUCUGCAACCCGACUCCACGAAGCUGGAUUCGCUAGUAAUCGCGCAUCAGCCACGGCGCGGUGAAUACGUUCCCGGGCCUUGCACACACCGCCCGUCA
rnacentral:rRNA from 1 species